GGAGAAUUCUUUAUGGAGGAGAGAACUUUGUAUUUUUGCUUGAUACAAAUGUGUAGGAUUACAUCUCUAUUUAUACUACUCUAAGGAGAACUCUAGACACACUAAUUCUAGAGAGUUCUCAACUCUAGAGAUCCAAAGAGUAUUCUAGAGAAUAUUACAACCAUAAGAAAUAUCUAGACACUCCAAACACUACAAGAAUUCUCUAGAAACAUGACCCAUAAUUACUUAAGCCCAAAAUAACUAAGUCCAAGGAACCAAAUAAUUAAUUUAGGCCCAAAUCAAGUUUAUAUUUCAACAUCCCCCCUUAAACUUGAUUUGU
rnacentral:lncRNA from 1 species